rnacentral:rRNA from 1 species
GGGUUUUUUUAUAAUCUGAGCCUUCUCGGCGCCUCUCGUAGGCGUUUCGAAAAUGAAUCAAAACUUUCAACAACGGAUCUCUUGGUUCUGGCAUCGAUGAAGAACGCAGCGAAAUGCGAUAAGUAAUGUGAAUUGCAGAAUUCAGUGAAUCAUCGAAUCUUUGAACGCACAUUGCGCCCGCCAGUAUUCUGGCGGGCAUGCCUGUCCGAGCGUCAUUUCAACCCUCGAACCCCUCCGGGGGGUCGGCGUUGGGGAUCGGCCCUGCCUUGGCGGUGGCCGUCUCCGAAAUACAGUGGCGGUCUCGCCGCAGCCUCUCCUGCGCAGUAGUUUGCACACUCGCAUCGGGAGCGCGGCGCGUCCACAGCCGUUAAACACCCAACUUCUGAAAUGUUGACCUCGGAUCAGGUAGGAAUACCCGCUGAACUUAAGCAUAUCAA